rnacentral:misc_RNA from 1 species
AAGGACGAAGUACUCACACCCUACGGAAAUCCGAUUACGCCGCCACAUUUCCAUGCGCGUAAUCCGGCGUUCGAUGUAACCCCAUGCCGCUACCUGUCCGGCAUUGUGACAGAAAAUGGAAUUGUGCGGCUACCCUUCAACGAAAAUUUACGGCGGGCAGUGGCGGGCGAGAACGUGUGAUUCGCCGAGUCAUUCGCAGAACAAUCAACAUCGUCCUCGCAUUUUUUGCAGUGGCAUUGAUAUGGGUGGGCUGGCAAUUUCUGCCGCCACCCACCUCUCCUCCACUUCCAGCAGACUAUCAUGCUCAAAAAGCUGUCUGGCUGGACAUCACCUGGGUAAUGGAUGC